AGUGAACGCUGGCGGUAGGCCUAACACAUGCAAGUCGAACGGCAGCACAGUAAGAGCUUGCUCUUACGGGUGGCGAGUGGCGGACGGGUGAGGAAUACAUCGGAAUCUACUUUUUCGUGGGGGAUAACGUAGGGAAACUUACGCUAAUACCGCAUACGACCUACGGGUGAAAGCAGGGGAUCUUCGGACCUUGCGCGAUUGAAUGAGCCGAUGUCGGAUUAGCUAGUUGGCGGGGUAAAGGCCCACCAAGGCGACGAUCCGUAGCUGGUCUGAGAGAAUGAUGAGCCACACUGGAACUGAGACACGGUCCAGACUCCUACGGGAGGCAGCAGUGGGGAAUAUUGGACAAUGGGCGCAAGCCUGAUCCAGCCAUCCCGCGUGGGUGAAGAAGGCCUUCGGGUUGUAAAGCCCUUUUGUUGGGAAAGAAAAGCAGCAGGUUAAUACCCCGCUGUUCUGACGGUACCCAAAGAAUAAGCACCGGCUAACUUCGUG
rnacentral:rRNA from 1 species